rnacentral:lncRNA from 1 species
CGUUUGCGGCCGGAGUAAUUCUUGCCACCGGAUUCAUCCAUAUCCUUCCGGAAUCUUUCGAAAGAUUGGGUUCUGAAUGUUUGCCUGAUGAUCCGUGGCACAAGUUUCCGUUCGCUGGGUUUGUAGCCAUGUUGGCUGCAAUUGGAACCUUGGUCAUCGAUUGCUUCGCAACUGGCUACUUCAUUAGAUUCCAUCAGAAGAAUGGACCAGACACUGAACAACAAGGUUUAGAUCAAAUAAGUGAUUUUGAUCCUCUCAUAAUCAGACACCGCGUGGUUUCACAGGUUUAUAUAAUCGAUUGAUUUGAUCUUAUAUUGACGUGAUUUUAAUUAUUCGAUCGAAUAUUAAUUUAGACUGAUGAAACUGAACAAGAUCAAUGGGUCAUUGUCGCUAGGUUUUGGAAUUGGGAAUUGUGGUCCACUCCGUGAUCAUCGGAAUCUCUUUAGGAACAUCUAACACUCCAUCCACUAUUCGGCCGCUUCUUAUUGCUCUGUGUUUCCAUCAAUUCUUCGAAGGAAUGGGGAUGGGAGGAUGUAUAGUUAUGGUAAUUAAAUAAACCUUUUUUUUACAAGUUACGUGAUAUAUAAGUAAAUAAAAAUUAAUUAAAGUACAUACACUGAGAUUUAAACCCUGAACCUUUAUCAAUCGAAUCACUAUAAUAGUGAUUGUUACAACUGAGAUAAUCGAGUUAUGUUAAAAAAACUUUAAUUCGAGAAAUAAAACUAACGACUGAGAUCUAAUAUUUUAUGAAUAUCUCACUUGAAGCUAGUCUUAUAUAAAUAAUGUAAAUGCAGGCAAGAUUCAAGUGGAAGACAAUAGCGACAAUGGUGUUUUUCUUUUCUUUGACAACUCCGGUUGGAAUCGGAAUCGGAAUGGGAAUAUCAUCGAGUUACAAUGAAAACAGUACUACUUCUCUGAUCGUCCAAGGUAUCUUAGAUUCUGCUGCAGCAGGUAUAUUGAUUUACAUGGCUCUUGUGGACUUGCUUGUUGUUGAUUUUAUGAACCCAAAGGUUCAGAACAGUCGAACUCUUCAGAUCGGAGUUAACGUUUGUCUUCUCAUCGGAACCGGUUUGAUGUCUUUGAUUGCUAAAUGGGCUUAAAUUGUAAUAAAUAAUAUUAUGUCAAAUUAUCAUUAAUUAAUUAAUACCAGACACUGAACAACAAGGUUUAGAUCAAACAAUUGGUUUUGAUCCUCUCAUAAUCAAACAUCGUUUGGUUUAAUUUGAUCUUAUAUUAUAGUUGGCAUCAGACACUUGGUAUCAGAGCACAUAUUAGGUAUCAGAGGACACUUGAUAUCAGAGACUAAAGGUAUCAGAGUCCACACGUAAAACUUAAAAUGAUUGUCUUUAAAACCUAAAAUUGACUUAUUUAUAUCUAAAAUCUAUGAUUUUAUUGUUGUUCCAAAUCUAAACAAAAAAGUUGACCAAUGGGUAACUUUUUUGUUUAGAAUUAGAUAGAACAUAUAGAAUUUUAUUCAUAAUAUAUGUUGAUAUUUCAACAUGAGCUAGCACGCCGUGUCGCUUCUCGGCGAUCCCACACGUCCUCUCCCAAGAUCGCGAUGAUGAUCUUGGGUAUGGGUGCCGCGCCUGGAACUGGGCAGACGUCGUCUAUAUUGCAUUUUCGGCUACAUUUCAUUCACAUAUUUGAGAAAAAUCCUUCAACAUUUCUGUCACUUGAUACUGUUCCCGAAGAAAUGUUUUAUUUCAUUAAAUAUGAUACUCAAAUUUGAAUCCAAGGCUAAUCUAUUUACUGAAAUUAAAUUAACCUUGAAUUGUGAAAUGUAUAAAACAUUUUUAAGCACAAUAUUCUUAAAAAUUGUGAUAUCUCCUCUUGAGGUUACUUUGCAUUUUUCAUCCCUUGGUAUGGUGACAAAAUGCUCAAUAUCCUCUUUAGGAGUUUUAUCAUACAGUUGGAGAUUCCCAGUCAUAUGUUGGGAUGCUCCAGUAUCUAUUAUCCAAACAUUUUUAUAAUUUGAUGAAUAAAAUGAAUAACUCAUACCAGAGGAUUUGUUUAAAAAAUCUGAGCAUUGGCAACUCCUCAUUGGUCAAGCUUUGCAUAGGUGUGGAAGUUGAGGCUUGAUUUGCACUUUCUGUAGCAACUUUCUUUUAAUCUUCUUUCUUUUUGAAUUUUUUCUUAUCAAUCGAAAAACUUAUUAGAUGAAAGCAUUGUUCCUUUGUAUGUCCAAAGAAAUUGCAGUUAUCACAAAAAUACCUUGUAUCUAAUUUUUUUUCAUUUUUACUAUACAUUCCUUUUUUCUUGGUUCUUUUUUUUCAAUCUUCUUGGAGAAUAGGGCAGUAGCUUCUCCACCUAUUUUAUCCCUAAAAUUGUUUUUGUGUUUUUCCUCUUGUAUAACUAGACAAAACACUUGAUUCAUUGAUGGAAGUUCGAGUUAUGCUAGUAUUUGACUCCUAAGAGUCAUAAAUUCAUCAUUAAAUCAUAACAAGAAUUAAUGAAUUUUAUCUUUCUCCAAUUUCUUAAUUAUUGUAAAUUGGAGAACAUAUUUCACAAAAAUUGCAUUCAGGUUUUUCUAUCUCAACAAAUUGAUCCUACAGAGUUUUAAACUUAUCAAAAAAAACUGAGACAGAUUCAUUUGAUUGACAUAAGGUAUUUAUCUUAUACCUUAGUUGAUUUGUUUUUGGCGUAUUCUUCUGUUUAUACCUCUCUUGGAGUUCUGCCCAAGCACCAUAGGUUGUUCCUGUGUGAAUGAGUGUUGAGGCUAUUUGGAGGCUUACACUGUUAAUUAUCCAGGAUAAUACCAAUCCAUUGAGCAUUUACCAAUCCUCAUAGUGCUCCCCUGUUUCAUCUAUGGGCUUUUUUAUUUUUCCAUUAAUGAAACUUGUCUUCUUCCUUGAGACGAGUGAAAGCUUUAUUGAAUUUGCCCAUGAUACGUAAUUUUCUUCUCCAGUAAGUUUUUCUUGCACCAUCUGAGCCCCAGGAUGAUCCCCUGCAGUAAGGAAAUAUGGGGAUUUUCUAGAAAAUCUACUAACCUCUUUUCCUUGUUUCUUUAUUGGUUUCCUGUUUCUUUUAUUUUUGGGAAAUCGGUAGUACUUUUCUUGACUAUCAGCACUUGAAUUUGAAGAACUUCCUUCCCUAUGAUCUUUCUCUUUGUUGCUUGAGUCUGACAUUGCGGUUGCUGAAGCUGAUGGAGACUCGCGAUCAACAUUUUCAUCGACUCAUACCAUCUUAUUUACCAAAGGAGGUCGGCGAUUGCAGCUUGUUAUGUCCGGCAGAAUCCCGGAGAGUUGAUGUAAGCCGACGGGAGUGGAAAGGGGGAAAGAAGUAGGGUUUCUCGACUUAACUGUCGAGUUAAUAAUUGGGGGUGAUUACGAAAGUGAUUAUGAGUUAAACUCAAUUAACUCUAAUGUAAUCGAAUUGAUUGCAAUCAAGAGUUUACACUUUGUUUUAUACUAUACAGACUCAUUAGUUUAACUAACUGAUUUAACAACUACUAAUAACAUAUAUUUGUUUGUAUAACAAUAUCUAUUUAGUUAAACUAAUAUUGAGCCCACGUAGCUUGGCCCAUGACAAUUGGCCCAUCACUUUAAUUAAUUCUUUCUUAAAACUUUUGCACUUUGACCCCCAAGCUUUCUAUUAUGAUGUGCAUGUGUCUUGGGGUAAUUAUCUGCACAUUAAAAACUUAACAGAUAAUGAUAUCUAAGUUCAAAACAGAUAAUAAUAUGAUUACAAUAUCCAGUGUUUAUUUUACUGUGUUAAUCAACAUUUAAUUCCUUUAAUGUCGACAUUAUUGAUCAAGGCUUAAAAUUCAAACAUAGGUGUGUCUAAAUCAAUAAAUGUGGCAUAUAAAUCCAUCGAGUGUAUCUAAAUAAAUAGACUUCAAACUUAGUUCAAUUAGUGUACCAACGAAGAUGAAAACUUCAGAGUGACAUUUUUGGUUCUUCUACUUUCAUUUCAAUCACAACUUCUCUCAACAUUUGGAAAAUCCGACGACGACUGCGCCAGGGAUGACUCUGGGGAAGAUAGCUCGACUGCUCGGAAACUGAAGAUCGUGGCGAUCUUCGCCAUCUUCUUUUCGGGCUAUGUAGGAAUCCUUGCACCCAUAAUUGGGAACUCCUUGGCAUUUCUAAAGUCAGACUCAAACUUUUUCUUCUUGGUCAAAGCGUUUGCAGCUGGAGUAAUUCUUGCCACCGGAUUUAUUCAUAUCCUUCCGGAAUCUUUCGAAAGAUUGGGUUCUGAAUGUUUGCCUGAUGAUCCGUGGCACAAGUUUCCGUUCGCUGGGUUUGUAGCCAUGUUGGCUGCAAUUGGAACCUUGUUCAUCGAUUGCUUCGCAACUGGCUACUUCAUUAGAUUCCACCUGCAUCAUGAUCAAAAUAAUGGACCAGACACUGAACAACAAGGUUUAGAUCAAACAAGUGGUUUUGAUCUUCUCAUAAUCAGACAUCGCGUGGUUUCACAGGUUUAUAUAAUCGAUUGAUUUGAUCUUAUAUUGACGUGAUUUUAAUUAUUCGAUCGAAUAUUAAUUUAGACUGAUGAAACUGAACAAGAUCAAUGGGUCAUUGUCGCUAGGUUUUGGAAUUGGGAAUUGUGGUCCACUCCGUGAUCAUCGGAAUCUCUUUAGGAACAUUUAACACUCCAUCCACUAUUCAACCACUUCUUAUUGUUCUGUGUUUCCAUCAAUUCUUCGAAGGAAUGGGGAUGGGAGGAUGCAUAGUUAUGGUAAUUAAAUAAACCUUUUUUUUACAAGGUAAUGAUACAUAAGCAAAUAAAAAUUAAUUGAUGUAUAUACACUGAGAUUUAAACCCUGAAUCUUUAUCAGUCCAAUCAUUUUAUAUACUAUCUAUAAUUACCUUGAUCUUAGAUUAUACAACUGGAUUAACUGAUAAGUUGGUCGCAAUCACUCUUAAGGUGGCUGAAUGUUUAUGAUUCGAAUUUUAAUAUAUGUACUUUAAUCUUGUGGUAAUUUAAAAUGAAAUCCAGAUUUGAUUAUAAUCUUGAAGUAUUAGAUUUGAAUAAAAUAACUUGUCAAAUAAAUUUUGAAUUUAUUUACUAUUGUAAUUACCAUAAAUCAACGAUUAUUAAUUCAUCAAGUGUCACAAAAAAGUACUUAUAGUAUACACACGUACUUUAAUUUAUAUAGAACAAUAUUCAGAUGAGUCUCUCUUAGGUAAGUUCAAAAACGUUUAUAAAAUCUUGAUUGUUCAUCUAUUUCAUCUGAAUUUUUUUCUUCUAUCCACCUUACACUAAUCCCGAGGUAAGGUCAAGAUUUCACAAGCGUUUUUGGGUUUAUUGGAGAUGAACUUCAAAUCGCAUAUAAUUUAUUGACUUUUUUUUAUCAUAAUAUUCUAAUACAACUUAUGUCGACAUUAUUGAUCAAGAUUUAAUAAAUCAAUAAAUGUGGCAUAUAAAUCCAACGAGUGUACCUAAAUAAAUAGUCUUCAAACUUAGUUCAAUUAUUGUACCAACGAAAAUAAAAAUGAAGAGCUUCAGAGUUGCGUUUUUUGUUCUUCUACUUUCAUUUCAAUUACAACUUUUCUCAACAUUUGGAAAAUCCGACGACGACUGUGCCAGUGAUGACUUUGUGGAAGAUAGCUCGACUGCUCGGAAACUGAAGAUCGUGGCGAUCUUCACCAUCUUCUUUUCAGGCUCUAUAGGAAUCCUUGCACCCAUAAUUGGGAACACCUUGGCAUUUCUAAAGCCAGAGUCAAACUUUUUCUUCUUGGUCAAAGCGUUUGCGGCCGGAGUAAUUCUUGCCACCGGAUUCAUCCAUAUCCUUCCGGAAUCUUUCGAAAGAUUGGGUUCUGAAUGUUUGCCUGAUGAUCCGUGGCACAAGUUUCCGUUCGCUGGGUUUGUAGCCAUGUUGGCUGCAAUUGGAACCUUGUUCAUCGAUUGCUUCGCAACUGGCUACUUCAAUAGAUUCCAUCAGAAGAAUGGACCAGACACUGAACAACAAGGUUUAGAUCAAACAAGUGGUUUUGAUCCUCUCAUAAUCAGACACCGCGUGGUUUCACAGGUUUAUAUAAUCGAUUGAUUUGAUCUUAUAUUGACGUGAUUUUAAUUAUUCGAUCGAAUAUUAAUUUAGACUGAUGAAACUGAACAAGAUCAAUGGGUCAUUGUCGCUAG